CUCAGAGAAAGGAAGUUGAGACCAACAAGAUGGGAAACUGGUUCCAUAAGCACUAUCCGCCCUGGGCAGUGCCAGGUACUAAUGAGCAAUGAAAUGUCCAAAAGGUGGCUAUUUAAAGUACCCUGAGGAGAAGGAAGUGGGGGGAACCCCAGGAAGAAACUUGUACCCUUAAGUUGUAAAGAUCUAAAGGUUAUCCAUUAA